rnacentral:rRNA from 1 species
GAACGUACGCUGGCGGCACGCCUAACACAUGCAAGUCGAACGAAGUAGCAAUACUUAGUGGCAGACGGGUGAGUAACAUGUAGGUAUCUGCCCUUUGGCCUGGAAUAACACGAGGAAACUUGUGCUAAUACCGGAUAAGUCUUUACGGAGAAAGCUUUAUGCACCAUUGGAUGAGCCUGCACUUGAUUAGUUUGUUGGUGGGGUAAUGGCCUACCAAGACUGUGAUCAAUAGCUGAUUUGAGAGGAUGAUCAGCCACAUUGGGACUGAGACACGGCCCAAACUCCUACGGGAGGCAGCAGUGGGGAAUCUUGCACAAUGGAGGAAACUCUGAUGCAGCGAUGCCGCGUGAGUGAAGAAGGCCUUUGGGUUGUAAAGCUCUUUCGUCGGGGAAGAAAAUGACUGUACCCGAAUAAGAAGGUCCGGCUAACUUCGUGCCAGCAGCCGCGGUAAUACGAAGGGACCUAGCGUAGUUCGGAAUUACUGGGCUUAAAGAGUUCGUAGGUGGUUGAAAAAGUUAGUGGUGAAAUCCCAGAGCUUAACUCUGGAACUGCCAUUAAAACUUUUCAGCUAGAGUAUGAUAGAGGAAAGCAGAAUUUCUAGUGUAGAGGUGAAAUUCGUAGAUAUUAGAAAGAAUACCAAUUGCGAAGGCAGCUUUCUGGAUCAUUACUGACACUGAGGAACGAAAGCAUGGGUAGCGAAGAGGAUUAGAUACCCUCGUAGUCCAUGCCGUAAACGAUGUGUGUUAGACGUUGGAAAUUUAUUUUCAGUGUCGCAGCGAAAGCGAUAAACACACCGCCUGGGGAGUACGACCGCAAGGUUAAAACUCAAAUGAAUUGACGGGGACCCGCACAAGUAGUGGAGCAUGUGGUUUAAUUCGAAGAUACGCGCAGAACCUUACCAACACUUGACAUGUUCGUCGCGACUCUAAGAGAUUAGAGUUUUCGGUUCGGCCGGACGAAACACAGGUGCUGCAUGGCUGUCGUCAGCUCGUGUCGUGAGAUGUUGGGUUAAGUCCCGCAACGAGCGCAACCCUCACUUUUAGUUGCCAUCAUUAAGUUGGGCACUCUGAAAGAACUGCCAGUGAUAAGCUGGAGGAAGGUGGGGAUGACGUCAAGUCCUCAUGGCCCUUACGUGUUGGGCUACACACGUGCUACAAUGGUAUCUACAACAGGAAGCAAGACUGCGAAGUUAAGCAAAUCCCUAAAAGAUACCUCAGUUCGGAUUGCACUCUGCAACUCGAGUGCAUGAAGCUGGAAUUACUAGUAAUCGUGGAUCAGCGUGCCACGGUGAAUGCGUUCCCGGGUCUUGUACACACCGCCC